GACGAACGCUGGCGGCGUGCUUAACACAUGCAAGUCGAACGGUGAAGGGGAGCUUGCUCCCCGGAUCAGUGGCGAACGGGUGAGUAACACGUGGGCAACCUGCCCCAGACUUCGGGAUAACGCUUCGAAAGAGGUGCUAAUACCGGAUACGAACUCCUUGGGCAUCCCGGGAGUUGGAAAGUUUUUUCGGUCUGGGAUGGGCCCGCGGCCUAUCAGCUUGUUGGUGAGGUAACGGCUCACCAAGGCGACGACGGGUAGCCGGCCUGAGAGGGCGACCGGCCACACUGGGACUGAGACACGGCCCAGACUCCUACGGGAGGCAGCAGUGGGGAAUAUUGCGCAAUGGGCGAAAGCCUGACGCAGCAACGCCGCGUGAGGGAUGACGGCCUUCGGUUGUAAACCGUCUUUCAGCAGGAAGAAGCG
rnacentral:rRNA from 1 species